UGGAGGAACAACCCCAGUGGCGGGGCCAGCUCUGGAAACCUGGAUUCAGCUCCCACAGUAACUCCAGAGCUCUCCGUCUGCAGGGCCUGGAGGCUCCAGGGCGGG
rnacentral:pre_miRNA from 1 species